GAACCAUAAGACAUGCAAGUCGAGCGGACAGAUGGGAGCUUGCUCCCUGAUGUUAGCGGCGGACGGGUGAGUAACACGUGGGUAACCUGCCUGUAAGACUGGGAUAACUCCGGGAAACCGGGGCUAAUACCGGAUGGUUGUUUGAACCGCAUGGUUCAAACAUAAAAGGUGGCUUCGGCUACCACUUACAGAUGGACCCGCGGCGCAUUAGCUAGUUGGUGAGGUAAUGGCUCACCAAGGCAACGAUGCGUAGCCGACCUGAGAGGGUGAUCGGCCACACUGGGACUGAGACACGGCCCAGACUCCUACGGGAGGCAGCAGUAGGGAAUCUUCCGCAAUGGACGAAAGUCUGACGGAGCAACGCCGCGUGAGUGAUGAAGGUUUUCGGAUCGUAAAGCUCUGUUGUUAGGGAAGAACAAGUACCGUUCGAAUAGGGCGGUACCUUGACGGUACCUAACCAGAAAGCCACGGCUAACUACGUGCCAGCAGCCGCGGUAAUACGUAGGUGGCAAGCGUUGUCCGGAAUUAUUGGGCGUAAAGGGCUCGCAGGCGGUUUCUUAAGUCUGAUGUGAAAGCCCCCGGCUCAACCGGGGAGGGUCAUUGGAAACUGGGGAACUUGAGUGCAGAAGAGGAGAGUGGAAUUCCACGUGUAGCGGUGAAAUGCGUAGAGAUGUGGAGGAACACCAGUGGCGAAGGCGACUCUCUGGUCUGUAACUGACGCUGAGGAGCGAAAGCGUGGGGAGCGAACAGGAUUAGAUACCCUGGUAGUCCACGCCGUAAACGAUGAGUGCUAAGUGUUAGGGGGUUUCCGCCCCUUAGUGCUGCAGCUAACGCAUUAAGCACUCCGCCUGGGGAGUACGGUCGCAAGACUGAAACUCAAAGGAAUUGACGGGGGCCCGCACAAGCGGUGGAGCAUGUGGUUAAUUCGAACCACGCGAAGAACCUUACCAGGCUUUGACAUCUCUGACAUCCUAGAGAUGGACGUCCCCUUCGGGGCA
rnacentral:rRNA from 1 species